AUGUAGCCAAGUGGAUCAAGGCAGUGNAUUGNGAAUCCACCAUGCGCGA
rnacentral:tRNA from 1 species